CAGUCGAACGAUGAAGCCCUUCGGGGUGGAUUAGUGGCGAACGGGUGAGUAACACGUGGGCAAUCUGCCCUUCACUCUGGGACAAGCCCUGGAAACGGGGUCUAAUACCGGAUACCACUCCUGCCUGCAUGGGCGGGGGUUGAAAGCUCCGGCGGUGAAGGAUGAGCCCGCGGCCUAUCAGCUUGUUGGUGGGGUAAUGGCCCACCAAGGCGACGACGGGUAGCCGGCCUGAGAGGGCGACCGGCCACACUGGGACUGAGACACGGCCCAGACUCCUACGGGAGGCAGCAGUGGGGAAUAUUGCACAAUGGGCGAAAGCCUGAUGCAGCGACGCCGCGUGAGGGAUGACGGCCUUCGGGUUGUAAACCUCUUUCAGCAGGGAAGAAGCGAAAGUGACGGUACCUGCAGAAGAAGCGCCGGCUAACUACGUGCCAGCAGCCGCGGUAAUACGUAGGGCGCAAGCGUUGUCCGGAAUUAUUGGGCGUAAAGAGCUCGUAGGCGGCUUGUCACGUCGGAUGUGAAAGCCCGAGGCUUAACCUCGGGUCUGCAUUCGAUACGGGCUAGCUAGAGUGUGGUAGGGGAGAUCGGAAUUCCUGGUGUAGCGGUGAAAUGCGCAGAUAUCAGGAGGAACACCGGUGGCGAAGGCGGAUCUCUGGGCCAUUACUGACGCUGAGGAGCGAAAGCGUGGGGAGCGAACAGGAUUAGAUACCCUGGUAGUCCACGCCGUAAACGUUGGGAACUAGGUGUUGGCGACAUUCCACGUCGUCGGUGCCGCAGCUAACGCAUUAAGUUCCCCGCCUGGGGGAGUACGGGCCGCAAGGCUUAAAACUCAAAUGAAAUUGACGGGGAA
rnacentral:rRNA from 1 species